GGAACCUGCAUAUGCCACAAAUGAGGCCCCAAAAAGACAAAAAAUUGAACUGAAAUCCUCAUGUCUUGUAGAAGAAGAAGGCUGGACAGGGGCCAUCAGCUCUCCUUUGCUAAUGAGGCAAUUGAGUCUUACAGCUGCUGUGAGUCGCAGAGCCCCUGGACGGCAGCAUGUGGACUGGAACCUAGGAUCGUCACUGCAAUUCCAGUCCUCUUCUUAAAGCCAUCGCUUCCAAAAACAUCUGGUAACCCAGGGGCAUGGGGGAAGGGAGGGACCAGUAUCCCUGGCCUCGCAGCCUCCCCUGGUCAGCCAAAGGGCUCUGGCAGGCUUGUGCCUGCAUGAUGACACUGCCCAGGGCAUCAAGACAGCAAGGCCCGGCCAGCAGCAUCCUUAUAAAUUCCUGGCCUGGCAGGUGCCCUGGGUCCUCGCCAUCUCACCGGGUCUCUGGUCUUCCUUCUGUGGUCAGGUCACCGGAGGUCGGUUCUGCUGGAGCACCUACUUCUUUGCCUUUUGUCUGAGACCUGGAGCCCACGGACAGACCAGGGUUCUGCGAAAGCGGAUAAUACCUCCCAUCCCAGGAGCAGGACCUUGGCUAAACCAACCAUUGAAGUCCACCUACCUGCAAACAGUGAUUGGCCCAAGGACUCUGAGCUUCAGGAGGACAGGAACUAUUGUCUUUGGACUUAAAUUUCUCCCUGCCUGGGUCCUGGUAGGGGCUCAAUAAAUAAGCAAUAAGGAAAUUGUUGGAGACCACAGAACAGCAGAUCUCUGCAGAAGGCAAGU